UAAGUAUGUUUAUUUUAUAAUAGAGUUUUUAUGUAAAAAUCAAAAUUAUGAUUAUAUAAAUGUACUUUAUGGUUUACAUUCGUAUAUUUCAAUUUAUUCAAAUAUCUAUUAUUCUUGUAUGUUAUCAUUUAAUAAAGAACUAGCUGAAAAAUAUAUAUCAGAAAAAAAAAAAAAUGCAAACCCUUUAAACAGUGAAAAGGAUGUAUGUUGUUCUGCAGAAUAUAAAGAUAACACACGUACUAAUAAUUCACACAAAAUGGAUCUAUAUAAUGAUGAUAAUUUUAGUUUGUAUUAUGAAUACAUAAAUCUGUACGCUAAUAAAGAUUUAAUGGAAUUAAAUGAAAAGUUGUUAUAUUUUAUUUCAAAAGAGAAAUUAAAAAAAACAAAUUGUAGUACUAAUGACAUUUUUCAAGAUUUGAAUAUAUAUAAGCAUGCUACUAAUUUGAUAAAAAAUUUUUUUUUUACUGGUAUAUAUGUAUGUGCGAGCACAAACACAGGCAAUAAUACAGAUACGAGUGUAGUAGACACAUGUACAAAUACAAACUGUAAUUUACAAUAUCAUAAUAACCACUACAGUAACAUCACCAAGUAUAAUAAUAUUUAUAUCACAAUUAUAAGCAGAAUAUACGAUUUCACUCAACAAUGUCCUUUAUAUUAUGAACCAAAUUUAAAACUGUGCUCAUCUUAUUUACCCAAUGAAAAAAAUAAUUCUAUAAGUCAUGAUAUUUUAAAAAAUGUAUUAAGUGAUACAACAUACUUUGAUCAAAGUAAGAGUUCAUAUAAUAAUGAUGUAAGUAAUAUUUUCAAAAACAAUAAAAAUUGUCAUCACUUUUUUGAAAAUGUACAAUUUAAUAUAGACAAUAUGUUUUUUAAACAAUGUUUAAAGAAAUGUGAUACAUUGAAAAAACCAAUCGAGUUGGGAAUUAUUGAAGAAGAUGUUACUGAUAGUUGGACUAAAAACAAUAAAACUAUUAAUAAUAAUAUUCUUAACGGAACUACAAUUUGUAGUGACACGUACAAUAGUGAUAGCAACUGCAGUAGUACCAUAAGUGAUAGUAUCGACAAUUCAUGGUUAACCGAAAAAAAACAUUUUUUAAAUAG
rnacentral:lncRNA from 1 species